rnacentral:rRNA from 1 species
AGGGCACCACCAGGAGUGGAGCCUGCGGCUUAAUUUGACUCAACGCGGGAAAACUCACCCGGCCCGGACACCGUAAGGAUUGACAGAUUGAGAGCUCUUUCUUGAUUCGGUGGUUGGUGGUGCAUGGCCGUUCUUAGUUGGUGGAGCGAUUUGUCUGGUUUAUUCCGAUAACGAACGAGACUCUGGCCUACUAAAUAGAGACAGGAUUAUUACUGUCCUGGAUUCUUCUUAGAGGGACAAGUGGUUUUCAGCCACACGAAAUUGAGCAAUAACAGGUCUGUGAUGCCCUUAGAUGUCCGGGGCUGCACGCGCGCUACACUGAAGGAAUCAGCGUGCUAAAACCAUUGUCGAAAGGCAUUGGUAAACCCCUCAAAAUCCUACGUGAUUGGGAUCGGGAAUUGCAAUUAUUUCCCUUGAACGAGGAAUUCCCAGUAAGUGUGGGUCAUAAGCUCGCGUUGAUUACGUCCCUGCCCUUUGUACACACCGCCCGUCGCUGCCCGGGACUGAGCCGUUUCGAGA